rnacentral:lncRNA from 1 species
AUUUCCAAAAGGGUAACACGACUAAACAAAUUGUAUCAGACAGUGACACACAUAUUAUGCUCCGUUACCAAGACCCUAAGCUUAGUCAGAAAGGGAGCGAGGAAUGGAGCAAAGGGAAGGGAAUGUCUGUUCACAGAGAACUGAAAGAUAUAUGCUGCACUUCACUUUUCUCUCAAAGGUCCUGAAGAAAAGUUUUAUAAAGCUACCUCUAGCUACUUCUCACACAAGUAACCAGUUCAAAAAUCAAUUCUGAACAGCAUCUGCUUCUGAAAAGACCAAAACAUCCCUGCAGUCUGAUGUCUAAUGACAUUCUUGGCUUGUAACAACACAUAUUCACCUCUCCUCAUCGUUUGCUAGAUCGCUUUUCAUACUUAUCCUUUGUGUGCUGGCUCCUGCUUCGGUGCCUAGGAGGAGAGUAGCUGACUCUCCUUCUGGACUGAAAGCUGGGUGUGUAUGGGUGAAUUCUGUGUUUCUUUGGUUUUUCUUCUUUCCUGCUUUUGUUUGGCUCCGGCUCCUUGCUGACUUCCUUUUGCUCACGUUCUUGGUCUUGUUCUUUCUGAGAUGGUAAUGUGUUUUUGAUGGUAUUAAUAAGAAAUCUUUUGUUUGCACCAGCAAGAGGACAUUUCAACCAGCCCAUUGCUCCCAUUGUUUCAGCUCUGGUUCUCCCUCGUUUUGCCUCCUUCAGUAACUCUUCCACAGCCUUCCUCUCCAGCUCUGGGUCCUCCUCCAUAGCGAACUGCUGCCCGGCUCGUCACGCUGAUGCCGGCACCAUACCCGCACUCAAUCCAG